UAAAAACUCUCCAAAGUGGGAGGGCUAAUUGUGUAACUAGUGAAUAAAAAGGGUUAAUUGAGAAAUUAACAAAACAAAAACACAAACACGGUUGUGUUCGUGCGAACCAGGGGAGGAAGAAAGGGGAGCCAAAAACCCUAACUGCUAGAUAUCAAGAAAUUGAAGCCUAAAUCACAAGAAAAUUCGAUGCAUGGGUCCUCUUUUUCGAAAAUCUAACCCUAACUAAUGAAGUGGAACGUGUCAAGGAGAGCUCAAGCAUAGGAGGAUAACGGGUCAAGAUAAGGCAAGGUGACAAAUACACUUAUUGGAAUACUCAAGGAAGAAACGUGACGCAAAACGGACGAAAAAUGAGAGAGUUAUGUCCGUUUCAGUAAGGAUUAAUGGCUAGGAAAAGUGCAGAGUUGACACGGCCGGGUGGUGAACUGACACGGCCGGGUGAAAGUUCUGUCAAAAAUAUUAUUUAUGUAAUUUAUGCGCCGUAGGCUUCGGUAUAUUAUCCGUGAACUACGACGGGCCUCCCAAACAUGAUUUCGAGUGUUUCCUUGACGAUUAUAAGUUGUAAACCCAAGUCUAAGCCUCGUGUAAUUUAUAUAAGAGUGUGAUAGAUGUAUGUAAUGAAGUUGGACAUGUAUUACAUGUAAAUGUAUACAAAAAUACGUACGGAACACGUAGGUAUGAAUACAUGAUUGUAUGUAUGAUUAAAUGUAUAUUAGGUAUGUAGAUGUGUAUGAUUGUAAGUUUGUAUGUGUGCAAGUAUGUGCGAAUGCAUGAUUUGGAUGCAUUUGAGAAUUAGCGUUACUAAUAAUGCCCUUGGGUUUGGAAUAUAAGUUGAUUGGAUGCAUUUAAAUGGUUAACGUCCUUUUUAUGAAGAUGUAGUAAAUGAAUAUGUUGAGAUUACGGGUUUGGCUAACCAAGUUAUUAUUGAGUAUGUUUGAAAGUGCAGGUUAUGAAUGUCGGACUUUCGAAGUGUUGAUAUAAUAAUGAAACGGUUGAAUGUUGAAAGGAUAAUCGGAUUGAAGUAACUUAUGCGGUUAGAAUAUGCUAUGGACGUUUUAGUUUAUACAAUAUUAUAUGUUUGGUCGUCACCAUCUACUAACAGGUAAUUCCUCAAUUUUGGCGACUUGGAGAAUCGGAGCGAGCGCGUGUUCGUGUUAUGCGAUACCAAACGCUUCCGCUAGCUUGUUCAAAUGUUUUUGAUCCAAAAUUUGUUGUAUUGGUAUUUAGUAGUAUCUUGUUGAACGAAUUGUAGAAUUGUAUCUAGUUUGUUUAUGUUUAAAACAGGGGUAAGCUCGUUUUAUGGACGGGUCAUGCCCGAUUUUUUUGUUAAAUUAUAGUUUGAUAAUAUCACAUUUAGGAAGGUGAAA